GGCGUAAUAGUUCAGUUGGGAAAGCAUUAGACUGAAGAUCUAAAGGUCCCUGGUUUGAACCAGGACAAGAAAGACUCCA